ensembl:snRNA U6 U6 spliceosomal RNA
GUGCUCACUUUGGCAACACAUAUACUAAACUUGGAAUGAUACAGAAAAGAUUAGGAUGGCCCCUGCACAAGGAUGACAUGCAGGUUCAUGAAGCGUUCCAUAUUAAA